ensembl:lncRNA
CCUGGAUGCACAGACACUCAGCAACUGAACUGACAUCAGCAUGAACAGGGGGCCUGCCUAGAGGGAAAGAUGGACAGAAGGAACAGCUGGAAUCGGAGAAGGGGGACUGGAGGAUAGACAGCCGGCAAAUGGACAGCCUGAGCCUGUGACCGCAGACUCAACACCAGAAAGGCAGAACAGGCUCCAUCAACCCGAGGCCUAAUGCAGGUCCCAUGUGAAGUGGUUUUCCACCUCUGAGGACUAAUCUCUGCUAACAGUGGCCUGCACGUCACACUGAGUCUCCUGAGCUGGACAGUCUCUCUCCAGAGAACUGACGGUGGAGUUUCUGGAAAACUACAAGACCUGAGAUGUUACAACAGACCAAAUGCAGAAGCAGAUGUCAGCAUCCAGCUGUCUUCUAUUCAACCAGACAUUCAAG